GAAAUGCGAUAAGUAAUGUGAAUUGCAGAAUUCAGUGAAUCAUCGAGUCUUUGAACGCACAUUGCGCCCCCUGGCAUUCUGGGGGGCAUGCCUGUCCGAGCGUCAUUGCUGCCCUUCAAGCCCGGCUUGUGUGUUGGGUCGUCGUCCCCUCCGGGGGACGGGCCCGAAAGGCAGCGGCGGCACCGCGUCCGGUCCUCGAGCGUAUGGGGCUUUGUCACCCGCUCGAUAAGGACCGGCCGGGCGCCAGCCGGCGUCUCCAACCUUUUUUUCUCAGGUUGACCUCGGAUCAGGUAGGGAUACCCGCUGAACUUAAGC
rnacentral:misc_RNA from 1 species